GCGUUGAUGGUGUAAUGGUUAGCAUUGCUGCCUUCCAAGCAGUAGAUCUGGGUUCGACUCCCGGUCAACGCA
rnacentral:tRNA from 1 species